rnacentral:tRNA from 1 species
GAGGGUAUAGUUCAGUGGUAGAGUGCCUGCUUAGCAUGCAUGAAGUCCUGGGUUUAAUCCCCAGUACCUUCA